GCUACAGAUAGUACCAUUGCCCGUGACGGUGACGGGCAGGCAGCCCGUGGCGACCAUACUCCAACUCUCAAAGCUGAAAGAAAGAAAAAAUAUGGCAGAAGAGGCCUCUCUCUCCCUUCAAGCCCUCGCUUAAGCGCGCGGGCCUUCUCUUUCUUCUCUUGAUCCAAGUUUCAAAAAAUCUGGAAGGAAGGGAAGAUUUUUAUCGUGGUCUUGAUUUUAAUGGCGUGGGACUAAUAGGUAAACAAGAAUCAUUUAAGUAGAUAGGAAAUAAAACAAGUUGUUGAAAAUCUUGGGUGACAGAGAUAAAGAGGAGUUUAUUUUGCUUUCUUAAUGGCUGAGAUGUGCUGUGGAGUGUUGAGUGACGGCGAAGCCUCGACGCCGUGUGAAGAGAGUUCGAAAGCGGCUAGGCGGAGGAGAAUGGAGAUCAGACGGUUCAAAUUCGUGACAGGUGCUGCCCCGACCUCGCCCGAGACGGAGGAAAGUAAUAAACGCCAGAAAAUAGAAAUUCACACGGCGUCAUUGCAUGCUUCUGGCGGAGACGACUGCGAGGACUCUGUUGUGGAACACCAAGAUGAAAGAGUCGUUCUCAAGGUUGAAAAUAGAAAAUCGGAGACUAAAGAAAUUGUAAUUUCGAACAAGUCUUUGAGUCUGAUUCUAAGUCCUUCCAUUUCAUCACCUGCCAUAGAUCCAGACUUCUUUCCAAAAUUCGGGGUCGCUUCAGUCUGUGGAAGGAGAAGAGAUAUGGAAGAUGCAGUGGCAAUUUACCCAUCUUUCUGUCGCAAAGACGAAGAAUCCACCAUUGAAUUGCAUUAUUUUGGCGUCUACGACGGCCACGGCUGCUCUCACGUGGCAGUCAGGUGCAAAGAGAGAUUGCAUGAGCUGGUGGAGGAAGAAUUGCUAGAGAGCAAGGAAGCAAUAGUAGUGGCGGCUGCUGCAGAGUGGAAAAACGCGAUGGAGAGGAGCUUCUGCCGGAUGGACAAGGAGGUUAUAGCUUGGAAUGAAGGGGUGGUUGGUGCUAGUUGCAGGUGUGAGAUGCAAACCCCAGAAUGCGAUGCCGUCGGAUCUACCGCUGUGGUUGCAAUCGUAACCCCUGAUAAGAUCAUCGUGGCCAACUGCGGAGACUCUAGAGCCGUCUUGUGCCGCAACGGCAAACCCAUCCCUCUCUCUAGUGAUCACAAGGUUCGCACUCCUCUCUCAUAACGCCAAAUGCUAACGAAUUGUAAAUAGUGAUCACAGCUAUCUGAACCCAGUCUUUUGCUUGGGGUGGUAAAGCAAUAGACUUUUUCGGUUUCUUUUAUUUUUUCGUUUCGAUUUUCGUAGCAACCAAACAAGCGCACAAAAUGUGUGUAUUCCCGUUCUUAAGUUCUUGCAUUGCGAGUUUCGAAGAUUUUUUUAUUUUAUUAACUUGGGUAUUCUCCGGAUGCGUGGUGACAGCCGGACCGUCCAGACGAGUUGAACCGGAUCCAAGCCGCCGGUGGGCGUGUGAUAUACUGGGACGGUCCACGGGUUCUCGGAGUUCUGGCGAUGUCGAGAGCCAUAGGUAUUUAAUUUUUGUAUGGUAAAAAUGGCGCCAUUUUUAGAGUAUCUCACAUUUUUGUGAUAAUAAUUCGCAUAGGUGAUAACUAUCUAAAACCCUAUGUGAGCUGCGAGCCGGAGGUGACGAUAACAGAACGGACGGCGGAGGACGAGUGCUUGAUACUAGCCAGCGACGGGCUUUGGGACGUGGUGUCGAACGACACAGCAUGUGGAGUGGCGCGUAUGUGUUUGAGAGGGAAAGGACAGGUGCAGCAGUCAUGUUCUCCGCCAGAGAACGAGGUGGUGGGCUGUGGAAGUGCAGCCAGCAGCGGAUGCGGUGAAAUGUCGGAUAAGGCAUGCUCGUAUGCGUCGAUGUUUCUGACGAAGUUGGCUCUGGCCAGGCACAGUACUGACAACGUGAGCGUGGUCGUGGUGGAUCUAA
rnacentral:misc_RNA from 1 species